rnacentral:rRNA from 1 species
GACGAACGCUGGCGGCGUGCCUAAUACAUGCAAGUAGAACGCUGAAGAGAGGAGCUUGCUCUUCUUGGAUGAGUUGCGAACGGGUGAGUAACGCGUAGGUAACCUGCCUUGUAGCGGGGGAUAACUAUUGGAAACGAUAGCUAAUACCGCAUAACAAUGGAUGACACAUGUCAUUUAUUUGAAAGGGGCAAUUGCUCCACUACAAGAUGGACCUGCGUUGUAUUAGCUAGUAGGUGAGGUAACGGCUCACCUAGGCGACGAUACAUAGCCGACCUGAGAGGGUGAUCGGCCACACUGGGACUGAGACACGGCCCAGACUCCUACGGGAGGCAGCAGUAGGGAAUCUUCGGCAAUGGGGGCAACCCUGACCGAGCAACGCCGCGUGAGUGAAGAAGGUUUUCGGAUCGUAAAGCUCUGUUGUAAGUCAAGAACGAGUGUGAGAGUGGAAAGUUCACACUGUGACGGUAGCUUACCAGAAAGGGACGGCUAACUACGUGCCAGCAGCCGCGGUAAUACGUAGGUCCCGAGCGUUGUCCGGAUUUAUUGGGCGUAAAGCGAGCGCAGGCGGUUUGAUAAGUCUGAAGUUAAAGGCUGUGGCUCAACCAUAGUUCGCUUUGGAAACUGUCAAACUUGAGUACAGAAGGGGAGAGUGGAAUUCCAUGUGUAGCGGUGAAAUGCGUAGAUAUAUGAAGGAACACCGGUGGCGAAAGCGGCUCUCUGGUCUGUAACUGACGCUGAGGCUCGAAAGCGUGGGGAGCGAACAGGAUUAGAUACCCUGGUAGUCCACGCCGUAAACGAUGAGUGCUAGGUGUUGGAUCCUUUCCGGGAUUCAGUGCCGCAGCUAACGCAUUAAGCACUCCGCCUGGGGAGUACGACCGCAAGGUUGAAACUCAAAGGAAUUGACGGGGGCCCGCACAAGCGGUGGAGCAUGUGGUUUAAUUCGAAGCAACGCGAAGAACCUUACCAGGUCUUGACAUCCCGAUGCUAUUUCUAGAGAUAGAAAGUUACUUCGGUACAUCGGUGACAGGUGGUGCAUGGUUGUCGUCAGCUCGUGUCGUGAGAUGUUGGGUUAAGUCCCGCAACGAGCGCAACCCCUAUUGUUAGUUGCCAUCAUUCAGUUGGGCACUCUAGCGAGACUGCCGGUAAUAAACCGGAGGAAGGUGGGGAUGACGUCAAAUCAUCAUGCCCCUUAUGACCUGGGCUACACACGUGCUACAAUGGUUGGUACAACGAGUUGCGAGUCGGUGACGGCAAGCUAAUCUCUUAAAGCCAAUCUCAGUUCGGAUUGUAGGCUGCAACUCGCCUACAUGAAGUCGGAAUCGCUAGUAAUCGCGGAUCAGCACGCCGCGGUGAAUACGUUCCCGGGCCU